rnacentral:rRNA from 1 species
GUGAAAGCAGAGCUUGCUCUGUGGAUCAGUGGCGAACGGGUGAGUAACACGUGAGCAAUCUGCCCCUGACUCUGGGAUAAGCGCUGGAAACGGCGUCUAAUACCGGAUACGAGCUGCGAAGGCAUCUUCAGCAGCUGGAAAGAAUUUCGGUCAGGGAUGAGCUCGCGGCCUAUCAGCUUGUUGGUGAGGUAACGGCUCACCAAGGCGUCGACGGGUAGCCGGCCUGAGAGGGUGACCGGCCACACUGGGACUGAGACACGGCCCAGACUCCUACGGGAGGCAGCAGUGGGGAAUAUUGCACAAUGGGCGAAAGCCUGAUGCAGCAACGCCGCGUGAGGGACGACGGCCUUCGGGUUGUAAACCUCUUUUAGCAGGAAAGAAGCGAAAGUGACGGUACCUGCAGAAAAAGCGCCGGCUAACUACGUGCCAGCAGCCGCGGUAAUACGUAGGGCGCAAGCGUUAUCCGGAAUUAUUGGGCGUAAAGAGCUCGUAGGCGGUCUGUCGCGUCUGCUGUGAAAACCCGAGGCUCAACCUCGGGCCUGCAGUGGGUACGGGCAGACUAGAGUGCGGUAGGGGAGAUUGGAAUUCCUGGUGUAGCGGUGGAAUGCGCAGAUAUCAGGAGGAACACCGAUGGCGAAGGCAGAUCUCUGGGCCGUAACUGACGCUGAGGAGCGAAAGGGUGGGGAGCAAACAGGCUUAGAUACCCUGGUAGUCCACCCCGUAAACGUUGGGAACUAGUUGUGGGGUCCAUUCCACGGAUUCCGUGACGCAGCUAACGCAUUAAGUUCCCCGCCUGGGGGAGUACGGCCGCAAGGCUAAAACUCAAAGGAAUUGACGGGGACCCGCACAAGCGGCGGAGCAUGCGGAUUAAUUCGAUGCAACGCGAAGAACCUUACCAAGGCUUGACAUAUACGAAGAACGGGGCCAGAAAUGGUCAACUCUUUUGGACACUCGUAAACAG